UACGUAGGGCGCAAGCGUUGUCCGGAUUUAUUGGGCGUAAAGAGCUCGUAGGCGGUCUGUCGCGUCGGCUGUGAAACCCCGAGGCUCAACCUCGGGCCUGCAGUCGAUACGGGCAGACUAGAGUGCGGUAGGGGAGACUGGAAUUCCUGGUGUAGCGGUGAAAUGCGUAGAGAUGUGGAGGAACACCGAUGGCGAAGGCAGCCCCCUGGGCUGAGAUUGACGCUCAGGCACGAAAGCGUGGGGAGCAAACAGG
rnacentral:rRNA from 1 species